rnacentral:lncRNA from 1 species
UUAAGACCCCAGGCAGAGGAGGGCCAGGUCUCUCUUCUCAGAGCUCAAGUAAGAAGAGGUGGGAUAACACCACCAAGAAGCCGAAGAAGAAUAAGUUUUGGAAUAAGUUGAAAUCCGGUCUGGGAUUUGGCAGUGGCUCGAGCUCAGGCUCAGAUGGUACAGAAUGCCAGAGAUGUUGAAGGCCGCACAGGGGAGUGUGUCGAGCUGGGACUAAUACAUGUUUCAGAUGUGGACAGGAG